rnacentral:rRNA from 1 species
GACGAACGCUGGCGGCGUGCUUAACACAUGCAAGUCGAACGGAAAGGCCCUGCUUUUGUGGGGUGCUCGAGUGGCGAACGGGUGAGUAACACGUGAGUAACCUGCCCUUGACUUUGGGAUAACUUCAGGAAACUGGGGCUAAUACCGGAUAGGAGCUCCUGCUGCAUGGUGGGGGUUGGAAAGUUUCGGCGGUUGGGGAUGGACUCGCGGCUUAUCAGCUUGUUGGUGGGGUAGUGGCUUACCAAGGCUUUGACGGGUAGCCGGCCUGAGAGGGUGACCGGCCACAUUGGGACUGAGAUACGGCCCAGACUCCUACGGGAGGCAGCAGUGGGGAAUAUUGCACAAUGGGCGGAAGCCUGAUGCAGCAACGCCGCGUGCGGGAUAACGGCCUUCGGGUUGUAAACCGCUUUCGCCUGUGACGAAGCGUGAGUGACGGUAAUGGGUAAAGAAGCGCCGGCUAACUACGUG